rnacentral:rRNA from 1 species
UACGUAGGGGGCAAGCGUUGUCCGGAAUCAUUGGGCGUAAAGAGCGCGUAGGCGGUCCGGUAAGUCAGCUGUGAAAGUCAGGGGCUCAACCCUUGAAAGCCGGUUGAUACUGUCGGGCUAGAGUCCGGAAGAGGCGAGUGGAAUUCCCGGUGUAGCGGUGAAAUGCGCAGAUAUCGGGAGGAACACCGGUGGCGAAGGCGCCGCUCUGGGCCGAAACUGACGCUGAGGAGCGAAAGC